rnacentral:lncRNA from 1 species
UAAAAAAAAAGAAAAUGCGUUAAAAGUUUUCAACAAUGAUCAUAAUUUAAAAAAGUUUAUACAUAUUUACAAACACUGUGAAAAUGAUGUUUUUAAUAUAUAUUUAAAUAUAUACAAUGAAUAUUAUACAAAACAUGAAUAUGACAAAUGUUCGAUAGAUUUUCAUGAAUUUGAAAAAAAAAGUGAUAAUAAUGGAAAAUGUUUAGAAAAGCAAAUAAAAUUAUUAAUUGAAAAAAAAUUAGUUAAUGACAAUAUAAUUGAUAAAUCUAUUAAGAAAAGUGUGGAUUUGUUAAUAUAUCCAUGUGUUUAUGAAAUUAAUAAAAAAGAAAAAUAUUACACAAGUUCAUGUUGCUCUGGGCGGAUAAUAAUAUUUCAAGAAGCAAAUGAGAAUAAUAAUAGUGCUAGUUAUGAUAAGCAAGUCGAAUUUGUUACUGAUAAAAAAGUCAUACCAAGCGGAGAAAAAUCGAAGAAUGUAAAACUAAACGAUUCUGUGCAAAACGACAUCGAUCAGAAUAACCAACUACUAUUACUACUUCCCCAUUUAAAAAAAGCAUUUAAACUAAGUCAAGAUAUAAAAAUUACAAAAAAAAAAAAAAAAAAAAAAAUGUUUUUCUGAUUAUGAAAAAGAAGAUAUAACAAUUUGUUGUAAUAAAUGUGGGAGGAAAAAAAUAGAGAAAUGUACCAUGAAUGCAUGUGAAAACCAAGAAUGUAGUAAAAUUGGUAUUAAAAAAGGAAUACAUAAAAAAAAUAUCCGUAUAUUAUACUCAAGUCAUUCUCACCAGAAUUUAGAAGAAGAUACUAAUGUUAUACAUAGAAUAUUGUUGAGUGAAAAAAUAGAUAUAAAUGAUUCAAUUUUUCAAGUAAAACUAAAAGAAAAUAAUUUGAAUAAGGUAAAUUUUUUUUCAAAAGAUAAAAAUGUAACUAUGUUUGAUAAUGGGCUAGUAAAUACAAAAAAAAAUAACUUCAUGGAAAUUUUUUUUUUUAAAAAUAAAAAAAAUGUGAAUAAUACUGCAGGUAAAGUUAACAAGUUUAACUGUUUAAGCGACUCAGAGAUUAUAAAAAGAAAUAGUAUUUUUAAGGAAAAUGCAAAAAAAGGUAACAAAAAUAUUUAUUUGAAAUUUGAACCGUUUAUUAUUCAUGUAAGUUGUGCUAACUUAGAAAGUGCCCUACAACUGCUAAAAAUAGCACAAUGUUCGGGUCUUAAACAAAGUGGAAUACUUAAUUUUAAUAAGUACAUAACAGUAGCUAUAAGAGGUUCCAUGCGACUAGAACAUUUUUUAGGUAGUAACGAUUUGCUAAUAACCGAGAAAAAAAAAAUAGUACAACUAAUUAAUGUAUGUAAUGAGAAAAUGACAAACAAUAUAAAUCAAAUGAUAAAAUUUUAUACAUAUUAUAAAAACUUUUUUUUAAAUAAAACAAAUGAUACGUUUUCUGACAGCUAUGCCGGUCGUAUCGUAUGUUCUUUGCCAAACACUAUACAUAUGGAAACGCAAAAAAAAAAAGAAAAAAAAAAGGACGCGCAACAAAAAAAAGUUAACUAUAUAGGUAAUCUAUAUGAUGAAAAAGAAGCAAAACAGGGUGAAAAAAGGAGCAUAUGUAUAAAUGAUAAUGAGCUAAUUGUAAAAAAAAAAGAUUUCGUGACAGUAAAACACACUAAUGAAAAAAAAAAAAAAAAAAAAAAAAUAAACUAUACUAAAAAUGAAAACAUUAAUUUAAACGAGUAUGGUAUAAAUAUAUCGGAAAACGGUUUUUUAGUAAGUAACAAUUUGGACAAUGACUUAAAAAAAACAUUAUUACAUUGGAAAUUGUUAAAUAAUAAAAAGUAUAUACAUAACUUUUUUAUGGUAUGGGGCCAUGACAUGUUUAUAAAUAAAAAUAAAAUAUAUUUGUAUGGUGGUUUUUUAAAAGGAAUAAGAAGUAAUAAAAUAAUAAUUUAUGACACGAUGAAUAAUGAUAUAGUUGUAUAUGACACACCUUUACCUGCAUUAGCAUAUCAUUCUUUUUUUAAGUUAGAUCAUAAUUAUGCUUGUUUAUUUGGAGGUAGAACGAACCCUAAAAACUGUAUUAACAACAUAUGGAUUUACAACAUUAAUAAUAAUACAUGGAAAGAAACUAAAAUUCGCACAAAAAGGAUAAGGAAACAUAAACUAGAAAGUGAUGAAAAAAAGAAACAAGUUAAUAACAUCCCUUGUGGUAGGUAUAGACAUUCAUGUGUCUUUAUAACAAUGUCAAAAAAGAAAAAAAAUGGAAUACGACAUAAUGGUAGUAGUGGUCUUGGUAGUGUUUAUUAUGUGUUUUACAUGUAUGGUGGCGUUAACAAUAAAAAUGAAAUACUAAAUGACAUGUGGAAAGGUAAAAUAAUUAUAAAUGAAUGUAAUAUAGAUGAAAUAUUUGUAGUAUGGAAUGAAAAACAAUGUUUAGGAAAUGAGGAAAAAGUGUUGUAUGUUAAAAAUCACACAAUGUGUUAUAAUAGAAAAAAGAAAAUGAUUUAUAUUGUUGGUGGAUGUUACGUAGAGAAUGGAGUAGGGGCAGAAGUGGCAGAAAAAGUAAAAACAAUUCGAGAAACAAGUAGUACUACUUGCUUUUUUAACAGACCAUGUCAAACAACAAAUAAUAUGAAAACAAUAAAAAAUGCAAUAAACAUGUGUAGCAGUAAGAAUAUAACAUAUUUAUAUACAUAUAAUAUAAAAAAGGAUCUUUUUUAUUUUACCCUAUGUAAAGGUGAUAAUAAUAACAGCAUGGUUUACCCAAUGAGUAGGUUUUCACAUUGUUCUUGUUUAAUCAAUGACAAUCAUUUAGUUUUAUUAGGUGGCCUUAACAACCAUCAUACCUUAAAUGACAUUUGGCUUUUAAACAUAAAAAGCUGCAGAUGGUACUACAUGGGUAAGUUUCCUUAUAACUGUAUGUAUAUAAGAUCGAAAGUGGCAAGUAACAAUAAUUAUAUUUAUAUUAUUGGUGGAGGUUGUACUGUUUUUACAUUCGGUUCAUAUUUCGAUGUAUCUGUUGUUGCUGACUGUAGCAACGUCAUUAUGAACGUGGUAGGUAAGAAGGGCAAUUCUGCGCGCGUCGUUUCGUGUAGCAGUAAUAAAAAUGGAAAUGACUUGUGCAGUCACACUGAGACGCACACUAACACUAACACUAACACUAACGCGGACAAUGAUAUUGGUAAAUAUACAAUACAAGGUCUACAAAAAUUAAUGAAACAAAAAAAGAAAAAGAAAAACAAAAUGUCCAGUAAACAUAGCAGUAAAAAUAGCAGUAAACAUAGCAGUAAAAAUAGCAGUAAAAAUAGCAGUAAACAUAGCAGUAAAAAUAGCAGUAAAAAUAGCAGUAAAAAUAGCAGUAAAAAUAUAGCAAACGCAAACAGGUAUAAUGACAUAGAAAAAAAAAACAGUCACUCUGUUAAUAACGAAAAACAAAAAUACAUAGAAGAUGUCUGUAAUACUAUCCACAUGCGAAGUAGCAGUUGUAACAAACUCACAUUACAUGAAAGCAAAUUGUACAUUGUAAUAAAGAAUAAAAAAUAUGUAAAAGAAAUCAAAACGGUUUUAGAAAAAAUUAAUAUUUUUGAUAAGAAACGGAAAAUAUAUUAUUCUAAAAUGACAAUAUCAAGUAAUAAGGCCGAAAUAGAAGGGUUUUUUGUUCCGAUUAAAAAAAAAAUUGAUUUUGUAAAAAAUUAUGAACAUGUUCAUAAAAAAUAUUAUUUAGAUAAAAUAUAUUUAUGUGACGAUAGAAAAAAUAUACUAUACGUAAAAACAAAUUGUAAUAAAAAAAGUAGUAAAGAGAUGAAUAUAAAAACUAAGCUAAAAAACAUAUUUGAAUGGUUUGUAAAUACAGAAAAAAUAAAAAAUUGUAUCAGUGUAAGUGAACGACAGUUAAUUUUGAAGGCGUAUAGAAAGUACGAAUUUAUAGGAAACAUAUUAGUAUUACACUAUGUGCAUUUUGGACCUAUUUGGAGGUUAUAUCAGAGCACUAUCAGGACUAGCCAUAAUAACAGCAGGACUAGCCAUAAUAACAGCAGGACUAGCCAUAAUAACAGCAGCACGAGCGGUAAUAAUAGCAGCACGAGUGGCGAUUAUGAAACGAUUAGGAAACAGCAAUAUAUAGAUAAAAAGGUAGAACAUAAAAAAAGGAAUUCCAAAAAAAAUUAUGUUUUCGAUGUUACGCACAAAUCAAGUAAACACAAAAACAAUGACGUGGUUCGACACAUCAAUAAAUUUUGUUGUGCUAUUAAACAAAUUUUUAAUGAAAGUAAAAAGAUAAAGCAUACUACUACUGCUACUGCUGCUGCUGCCGAAUUAGUUAAAAAAAAAAAGCACAACACUCACACUCACACUCACACUCACACUCACGCUUGCUAUAUUAAGAAUUGUAAAAAUUUUAAAAAAGUGAUAAACAUUGUGAGACGAAGGAAAAGGCUGGUAUGUUUGAUACCCAAUGGAAGUAGUGACUGCAUAGGUAGUAUAAUAAAAAGCAGUCAUGACAAAACAGUUAAAGCAAUAAAAUUUGGUAAGUUAUAUAAAAAAGAAAAACAAAAAAAAAAAAACAGAUUUACGUAAAAUUAAAAAAAAAAAGGAUUAUAAUAACAAUAAUACCAAAAUGAAGUCAAUUGGAAUAUAUGAAAAAAUAGAAGGUGCGUUAAGAAAAAAUAAAAUCUAUUUAUUAUAUGGUAAAGAUUUAAAA